rnacentral:rRNA from 1 species
UGAGCAAUCUGCCCUUCUCUUUGGAAUAAGCGUGGGAAACGACGUCUAGUGUCGAAUACGACCUCCUUUCGCAUGAUCGGAGGUGGAAAGCUCCGGCGGAGAAGGAUGAGCUCGCGGCCUAUCAGCUAGUUGGUGAGGUAAUAGCUCACCAAGGCGAUGACGGGUAGCCGGCCUGGAGAGGGUGACCGGCCACACGUGGGACUGAGACACGGCCCAGACCUCCGUAGGGA